rnacentral:ncRNA from 1 species
CUUUUUGCGCUUCAAGGGAAGAGUCCGUCCAGCAUCCACCCAGAUGUAAAAAAAUUAUCAAUAAUCUGGCUAAUGACCAAGAAGCAAUGUUGCUUUUUGAGUCGGAUCUUCCUACCAAAAACCGAAGCAGAAUUCAGCAAACGUCGGGUUGUUCAACCACAAAUAAGGAGCGUAAGCUGGGUUUGGACUGUCGUGACACAAAUAGUUUUAUUGCAAGAGGAAGUGAGGUAAUUGAGCUAAGCACAGGAGGAGCCGUUCAUUCAGAUUGAAAAUUGGCCCAGCUCGAGCAAGUAGUCGCCCGAAGUAAUCUGUUGUAUUAUCAUUGAACGUUUCUAAGUCGCAAGCUGCACCAGAACGCGGCGAUUACCGCCUUAUCGGGUUUUAAAGCUGGAACUGCCUGCCAUGACAAUUAUGCAAUUCAUGUCUUGUUAUCCCAGAUGUGGGCGGGUAUUUCUAUAGUUCCAUAGUCGACAGAAAAUAAAAAUCAAAUGCUACGGAGCCACAUUGGAGAGUGAUUCAUUUCGCUUGAAAGUGG